GACGAACCGUACAAACGUUAUUCGGUGUCACUGGGCUUAAAGGGUGCGUAGGCGGCGGAGAAAGUUAGGUGUGAAAUCCCUCGGCUCAACCGAGGAAUGGCGCUUAAAACUACUUCGCUCGAGGAAGAUAGAGGUGAGCGGAACUUACGGUGGAGCGGUGAAAUGCGUUGAUAUCGUAGGGAACACCAGUUGCGAAAGCGGCUCACUGGGUCUUUUCUGACGCUGAGGCACGAAAGCUAGGGUAGCGAACGGG
rnacentral:rRNA from 1 species